GACGAACGCUGGCGGCGUGCUUAACACAUGCAAGUCGAACGGAAAGGCCCUGCUUUUGUGGGGUGCUCGAGUGGCGAACGGGUGAGUAACACGUGAGUAACCUGCCCUUGACUUUGGGAUAACUUCAGGAAACUGGGGCUAAUACCGGAUAGGAGCUCCUGCUGCAUGGUGGGGGGUGGAAAGUUUCGGCGGUUGGGGAUGGACUCGCGGCUUAUCAGCUGGUUGGUGGGGUAGGGGCUUACCAAGGCUUUGACGGGUAGCCGGCCUGAGAGGGUGACCGGCCACAUUGGGACUGAGAUACGGCCCAGACUCCUACGGGAGGCAGCAGUGGGGAAUAUUGCACAAUGGGCGGAAGCCUGAUGCAGCAACGCCGCGUGCGGGAUGCCGGCCUUCGGGUUGUAAACCGCUUUCGCCUGUGACGAAGCGUGAGUGACGGUAAUGGGUAAAGAAGCACCGGCUAACUACGUG
rnacentral:rRNA from 1 species